GACGAACGCUGGCGGCGUGCCUAAUACAUGCAAGUUGAGCGCUAAAGGUUUGUACUUGUACCAACUGGAUGAGCAGCGCACGGGUGUGUAACGCGUGGGGAAUCUGCUUUUGUGCGGGGGACAACAUUUGGAAACGAAUGCUUAUACCGCAUAAAAACUUUAAACACAAGUUUUAAGUUUGAAUGAUGCAAUUGCAUCAUUCACAGACGAUCCCGCGUUGUAUUAGCUAGUUGGUGAGGUAAAGGCUCACCAAGGCGUUGAUACAUAGCCGACCUGAGAGGGUGAGCGGCCACAGUGAGACUGUGACACGGCCCAAACUCCUACGGGAGGCAGCAGGAGGGAAACUGCGGCAAUGGGCGAGAGUCUGACCGAGCAACGCCGCGUGAGUGAAGAAGGGUUUCGGAUCGUAAAACUCUGUUGGUAGGGAAGAAAGUUGGUGAGAGUGGAAAGCUCAGCGAGUGACGGUAACUACCCAGAAAGGGACGGCUAACUACGUG
rnacentral:rRNA from 1 species